rnacentral:lncRNA from 1 species
GAGAGUGAAUAGGUCUCCUUGUCUUUAAUAACAAUUUGAGUUGAAAGAAACGAAUAUAAAUUUCUUUGUGGUGGAUAACUAAGUAGGACGACCUAAUAUUAUAAACAGAAUAAUGAUAAGAGGGAGGACCCUCCAGAUUUGUUGUUUCUUUAUUAUGGUGAGAAAGUCUUGGCUUCCACUGUCAAUAUAUCUUGGACUCUGAGACCCAAUAUAUAUAUGUAUCUCAGCUCCCAUCAGUUGCUCUUCCAAGGCAAAGAAACACAAAAAGAUGUGGAGAAAGAAGAGAAAGAAGGAUUUCACAAAAACCAAUGAUGAUAGUGAAGGUGACUUCAAACCUUUCUGUGUAGACUAUUAGCCUUCACAGCAUCUGAUGUGAAGAGAACUCACAGGCAAGUCAUAAAGGCAAAGGGAAGGUGAUGCCUUUCUUCCAGGUUUUUUCUUUUAUUGUUGGAUUUGAAGUUUCAUUGUAUAUGUAAUGUAUGUUAAUUUUGGGUUAAAAUACUCUUUAAAUAGUGUUUUCAUGUUGCCUUACCGUGUUAUUAUAGUAUAAACUAGUGGCGCUUACAAAUAUUCCUGGAAUUGUGAACAACUGUCCAGGUUAAAACCAGCAACUUAACAAAGUUGACUACUUCAAUAACACAAGAAUUCAUUAAUCUCCUGAACAUACUUCUUCAUUCAGUUAUACUCGAUGCUAUAAAGUUGCGGUUCGUUUAUAAGUACACAUAUAACAUCCCAAAAAGGUUUAAACAUAGCUAGAAACAUUCUGAGGCAAUUGAGUAAGUCAAGCUCCUGACAGAUUCAAGCAAUUUUCAUGGCACAUUGCACCAGUCAAAAGUACCAUACAAACGUCGUGUCUAUAUUGCAAGAGAGACGCAAAGUAUUUUAUUCAACUUAAUUUUAUCCGAAGUAUCAGCCAUGCGCUUCAAAUCCAAAAACAGGACAUAUUUCUAGCAUUAAACAUGAAUACCAAAAACAUAAAUGCACAAACAUGAAGUAUCUUCUGAAAAAUGUUAGAAUCAAUAUCAGGAAGAUGAUUAAGUACUUCAAAAUGUGGUAAGAGUAAUAUGAUAGCCGAAGUAUUCAUUAAAGUCAGAACUCAAAACAAAAAAGAACUACUGAGCAAAGGAAAAGUUCUCUUUAACCAACUCAUUCUUCAAAAACCUAGUUUAUAGUAUGUCAUAGCUUUAACCAGAACCUCUAGCAAACAUCAACCCACGAUCAUCAUAGCCUUCUCUUUAACCCUAAAAGAGCAUCCCUCAGUAAGUUUUGCGCGUCCACCAGUUGGCUGGCAGAGCACUUGCUGGCAGUUGGCGCAUGUAACCACGGUUUGUGAGUGGCUGAAAAUUGUUGUUCUGUAAAAGUUGGAUCGAUUAUUAGUACCUUACUACUACAUGGAAACUUAUAACACGAUGAAUUUAACCGCUAAUUUUCAGUAACCUACAUUUGGAAGCAGCCUGGACAUUUAACAUCCUGCACGGUUGAUCAAAAGUUCACAAGCAAGCACAAAGACAAAAGGCAUGAAUCAUAUAUAUAGAUCACAACGAAAUCCAAAAUAUCAGUGAUUAAUGGUAGAUACCAG